AAGCGUUCACCUCACUUUUCGAGGCGCAGCUCGAUCCAAGCCAUGGAACGGGGGCUUGGG
rfam:Synechococcus sp. WH 8102 complete genome.